UACGGAGGGGGGCUAGCGUUGUUCGGAAUUACUGGGCGUAAAGCGCACGUAGGCGGCUUUGUAAGUUAGAGGUGAAAGCCCAGGGCUUAACCCUGGAAUUGCCUUUAAGACUGCAUCGCUAGAAUCGUGGAGAGGUAAGUGGAAUUCCGAGUGUAGAGGUGAAAUUCGUAGAUAUUCGGAAGAACACCAGUGGCGAAGGCGACUUACUGGACACGUAUUGACGCUGAGGUGCGAAAAGCGUGGGGAGCAAACAGG
rnacentral:rRNA from 1 species